CGCUCGUCGUUCUGCCUGGGGUUUUCUUUACCUUAACAUAUAAACGAUCAACUCUUUACAACAUAUUUACCAGUUAAGAAUCUCUCUAGUCAAUUGAUUCAGACUAUGAAACGUGCUUUAUCUUAAAACUAUUCUCUUUAUAGCCAAGCUUAUUAUCCUGGUAUUUUUGAAUCGCUCUAUUGAGAGCACAACAGUUAGUGAUGGUAAGUAAGUUUUUACAUUAACAACGAAAAUGUGUGAAUCAUAUACCCAAGGCUUCUUGAAAGUACUUUAAGUUGCUCUGCUGCUUUGGCAAAUUUCACCGGUAGAAACCAACGUUAUACCAUAGAUUUUACUGUAUAUAACUGGGAUCUUUAUAACUGUGGUUUAAGAAAUAUAUUAACUGCAUUUAAUUUCUCUUUGAAUUUUCUUUAAAUUUAUUAAAACUCUUGGGCUGCAAGCUCCUGUCAUGUA